rnacentral:tRNA from 1 species
GCCCGGGUGGCGGAAUUGGCGAUACGCGAUGGCCUCAAAAGCCAUUGUCCCUUUGCGGACAUGUGGGUUCGAGUCCCACCCCGGGUA